rnacentral:tRNA from 1 species
GCGCCCAUAGCUCACCCGGAUAGAGCACCCGCCUUCUAAGCGGACGGUUGCAGGUUCGAGUCCUGCUGGGCGCGCCA